AGUGGACGACUUCACACUGUUCACUCUGCAAGGCUAUCGGCAUUGACGUCACUCACUGUCGUCAUUCGUCACGCUGACCUACUGGCGGGACGGCAAGACAGACAGACUCCUAGACGCUCUGCCGAGAAGCCGGCUUCUCGACGGUAUGUGUACUGGGGAAUGAAUGAAUGACGAGAGGAUUCGAUUGAUGUAAGAUCGAAGUAGAAAUUAAGUGCUACGUGGGACACCUUGAGACUUGUCUCUUCUGUGAAAGUUGCGUGUGCGUCGCAGCCGAACGCAUCAGGUCUCCGACCUUGAAGGCAUAUAUAUGGUAAAGAGUAGUACCGACAUGGCGACACAGAGCACUUUUGAUCCGGAGACUUAUGUGCCUGAAACAUCAAUGAGUAAAUUCAAGAGGAAGUUUCAGGAAUCCCCAUUUAUGGUCUUUGGACUGGGAGGAUGCAUCUGUGCUGUGGCAUACGGCGCUUUCAUGUACCGCCGCAGGAAGUUUGUGUCCACAUCCAUCUACAUGAUGCAGUUGCGUGUAGCAGCACAAGGCAC